AUUGAACGCUGGCGGCAUGCCUUACACAUGCAAGUCGAACGGCAGCACGGGUGCUUGCACCUGGUGGCGAGUGGCGAACGGGUGAGUAAUACAUCGGAACAUGUCCUGUAGUGGGGGAUAGCCCGGCGAAAGCCGGAUUAAUACCGCAUACGAUCUACGGAUGAAAGCGGGGGCCCUUCGGGCCUCGCGCUAUAGGGUUGGCCGAUGGCUGAUUAGCUAGUUGGUGGGGUAAAGGCCUACCACGGCGACGAUCAGUAGCUGGUCUGAGAGGACGACCAGCCACACUGGGACUGAGACACGGCCCAGACUCCUACGGGAGGCAGCAGUGGGGAAUUUUGGACAAUGGGCGAAAGCCUGAUCCAGCAAUGCCGCGUGUGUGAAGAAGGCCUUCGGGUUGUAAAGCACUUUUGUCCGGAAAGAAAUCCUUGGCCCUAAUACGGUCGGGGGAUGACGGUACCGGAAGAAUAAGCACCGGCUAACUACGUG
rnacentral:rRNA from 1 species